CUCUCUCUCUCUCUCUCUCUCUCUCUCUCUCUACACUUGACUGUAUACCAGCGCAGUCCAAAUCUCCGGCCACAACUUACCCCAAAAAAUAAUCUUCAGCCACAUACACAGCCAUUGCCAUGCCGAUGUUUAGCACAUAGCUGAUUCCGUUUCAGAUCUACACUUUUAGGUUACGGUUUCUGUUUGUUUAUCAAUCAAGUAAAAACAUUGGCUUUUAUUGUUAGCUUCGAGUUUUGUCAUCGAAUACAAGGUCGGUGUUUGUGUUCCAUGAUGACCUACGAUUAUUGAGGUAUCAUUCCCUUCUUUGUCCUCAUCUCUGCAAUUGUAUGCAUGCCUAGGUAAGGGAGUUCUUUUCUGAAUUCAUUACUCGUUCUGUGUUGAGUGUGUUCCAAAUUAAUGGUUUGUGACCUGACUACCAGAAAUCACACAAGGUAUACACCUACGGUAGGAUCCGUCAUCUUGGCAGGAAUUCUUUUAAAAUUGGGAACCUAUGGUUGUAGAUCUAGGGUUUUCUUUGAAUUUUGUUUCUAUGUACCUGAUUUGCCCGCCUUGCAUGUGUUUGUUAGUGCUAAUUUCUCUGGGCAUUGAUUGUUAUUGUGAUUGUUGGUAUUGAUUUUGCAAAGAGGUAAAGUUGGUUAUAUGGUUCUUCGGUUGGUGUGUGAGAGAGAGAGGGGGAAAAAAAGGUCAAGCAAAGAAGAAGAAUUGAAGGAAUGAAUUUGGGUUAUUGAAUCUUGAUUUGCUUCUCUUGGUAAGAUGUUACUCUAGCAGCUAGUUUGAUACCAAUUAUUAGUUUCAGUGGUUUGAUUUUAUGGGAUCUAUAAUGAAACCAUCAUAACUUGGGUUAAGAAAUUAUGUAGUUAGAUUUGGUAGAAAUUGCUAAAACUUAAUUUGAAAGUAAAGAACCUAUAGAUUUUGACUAAAAAUAUGUUGAUAGUAUAAGUUACCCACUGAAUUGGUUGUUCAAGAGCUCGAAAUAUACCUUAGUUGUGCUGAAACUUGGGACUCGAAUAUGAAAUCAGUUGACUAAUUACUGCAAUCAUGUUGGGUAUUCCGGAAAAUGUGUUUUUAUAUUCUAAAAGUUA